CCGGAGCAGCGUGGAAGUGCGCACAGAGUUCCUCAGGCAGGCGCUGGGGUACCUCGAGCAGAGUUAUAAGAAUUACACCCUUGUGACUGUGUUUGGAGAUUUGCAUCAGGCCCAGCUGGGUGGUGUGCCUGGGACUUAUCAUUGGUGCGAAGUUUUCUGAACAUUAAACUUCCAGCUCCCUUACCUGGACUUCAGGGUGGAGAGGUGGAGGGCCACCCUGUCUGGGCUUUGAUCUACUACUGCACGCG
rnacentral:lncRNA from 1 species